UACAGAGGUCCCAAGCGUUGUUCGGAUUCACUGGGCGUAAAGGGUGCGUAGGUGGUUAGGUAAGUCCGAUGUGAAAUCUCCAGGCUCAACCUGGAAAUGGCAUUGGAUACUAUCUAGCUUGAGGAGUGGAGGGGGGGACUGGAAUUCUCGUGUAGCAGUGAAAUGCGUAGAUAUCGAGAGGAACACCAGUGGCGAAGGUGAGUCCCUGGACACUUCCUGACACUGAGGCACGAAAGCCAGGGGAGCAAACGGG
rnacentral:rRNA from 1 species